rnacentral:rRNA from 1 species
UACGUAGGUGGCAAGCGUUGUCCGGAAUUAUUGGGCGUAAAGCGCGCGCAGGCGGUCCUUUAAGUCUGAUGUGAAAUCUUGCGGCUCAACCGCAAGCGGUCAUUGGAAACUGGGGGACUUGAGUGCAGAAGAGGAAAGCGGAAUUCCACGUGUAGCGGUGAAAUGCGCAGAUAUCAGGAGGAACACCAGCGGCGAAGGCGGCGCUCUGGGCCGGUACUGACACUGAGGAGCGAAAGCGUGGGUAGCAAACAGG